rnacentral:tRNA from 1 species
AAGGAUUUAGGUUAAGUAAACUUUUAACCUUCAAAGUUAAAAAUAGAUUUAUAUUGUCUAAGCCUUA